UACGUAGGAGGCGAGCGUUGUCCGGAAUUACUGGGCGUAAAGCGUGCGCAGGCGGCUUUGCAAGACAGAUGUGAAAUCCCCGGGCUCAACCUGGGAACUGCAUUUGUGACUGCAUGGCUAGAGUACGGUAGAGGGGGAUGGAAUUCCGCGUGUAGCAGUGAAAUGCGUAGAUAUGCGGAGGAACACCGAUGGCGAAGGCAAUCCCCUGGACCUGUACUGACGCUCAUGCACGAAAGCGUGGGGAGCAAACAGG
rnacentral:rRNA from 1 species